rnacentral:tRNA from 1 species
GUAUAGCUCAGUGGUAGAGUGCGUGCUUAGCAUGCACGAGGUCCUGGGUUCAAUCCCCAGUAC